rnacentral:misc_RNA from 1 species
CGUACCAAACUAUCAGAGCGGCGGCAAAGCUUUAGUCCCAACCAUCAUCGGAUCAUGGCUUCCACAUUUCCAAAGACAUACCGCAAGAAACGGUACAACCACCCUCAUCACAAGCGAUCUCGUCCCGCUUGCCAGCAGGGACUGUAUGUUCAUUGUGUCAGGGUUUGCUCCACCACGAGGGUACUGAGGAUGCAAGUUGGAGACAUCAUCCUAGAAAUUAAUGGAGAACUUGUGGAGGGAAAAACCACUAAGGAAGUUGUCACCAGUUUGAUGCGUUCCCCAGACGAUCUCAUCCUGAAAGUCAAAGAAGAUGCUGAGACGAAAUCGAGAGUUCUAAAGUUCUUGGAACCACUGGAAAAUCCUCCCGGAUCCAACCCCAAGAUCCGAGUGAAGACCAUUGGUCACGCCAGCCCCAAACACAAGCAGCAGAAGAUUAAGGAAUCCUCACCAGUCAGACCUGGUUCGACCCAGCCGUCGCCACCAGCGACACCCAAUGGCCAAACAGAUGACAGCAGGCCUGAAAAUGGACAGAGCAGUGUGAGUCUGGAGUCAACGAAGCUGGAUUCUAGUUCAGGAGAAUUGGGCGAUGUGGACGUGAAACAAUGCAAGAGUGGUGGCGUGAUAAUUGUUGAGACUCCUGACAGUGACCUGCCGUCUCCUGUGAAAACAAACAAUAUUCAUCCUUCAGAUCAUAGGCUAACCGGUGGUGCCCCCAUCAACGGGAUUGGCAGGGAUCAGUUACGCGAUCGGGAUAUGCCAAGCGCAAGGCAGGUGUACGCAGCUAAUGCAUACUCAUUCAGCUCGGAUUCAAGUGUUUCAGACAUUCCAUCUGUGCAGGUUAUGACGACUGUGGCGCAAAUCCACCGGGAGGACUCUUCCCUGAUUGCGCGGACUUUGCCCGAUCAGGAGAUGACUGAUGUGAUGGACGGGCAGCUUCACAGCAGUCCCAAUUGCAAACAUGCAGACCAGGAAUCUGAUUUGAGGCAUAACGACAUCAAUAGGAAUGUUAGUAAAAUGCCCAUGGUGUCACUGGCUGAGAGCGAGUCAUCCCAAAGUGAGUUGUCCUCCCAAGCUAGCUCUUGUCCCUCAGAGGGACCACUCGCAGACUCACCCCUCAGAACUCACAGACUUGCAGCAGCCUCAAAGCACCCUACUGGUAAGGAUGCAGCCGAGCGCGCUACACAGGUUGACCUUUCGUUGGCGGGAGAGAAGGAAACAGACAGUGUAACGUACGACUCGGGAUAUGCAAGCACGUCGUCUGUCGCCAAACAGUGCUCCAACUUCUCCCAUUCCCAGUCAUCUCAGACAAACUUGGAUGCCGACGCGAGUAAGUCGAUGGAGAACCCCCCGGAUGAGCAGCAGCCAACUGAGCCGCGUCAGGCAACCACCCUGGUGCAUCACGGGAGUGAUGCCAUGGAGCCGUGGACUGGCGGGAUGGGUUCUCGGACGUCCAGCGAUCACAGCGUGAAUUCCGAAGAGUCAGAGUGUUUGGACAUGGACAGUCUAGGGAACGCUCUUCAAGCUGGUAGCAAGAAUCUGGAUGUACCAUCGGCCCAACGAUUAGCCAAACGAUUAUUCAUGUUGGACGGAUUCAAGAGAUCGGAUGUAGCUAAACAUUUAAGUAAAAGGAAUGACUUUAGCAAGCUAGUGGCCGAGGAAUAUGUCACCUACUUUGACUUCACCAACCUCCCCCUGGAUAUUGCGCUGCGCAAAUUCCUGGCCAAGAUCGCCGUGUCCGGCGAGACGCAGGAGAGGGAACGGGUGCUGCUCCACUUCUCCACGCGGUACCAGCAGUGCAACGAGAUAGAGUUCCGAUCAGUGGACGCCGUGAAUGCCCUGACCUGCGCGUUGAUGCUUCUCAACACCGAUCUCCAUGGACAGAACAUUGCAAAGAAGAUGUCCCUGAGCGCCUUCAUAUCCAAUCUAGAAAGGAUGAACGAGGGGGAAGACUUCUCUCGAGAAAUGCUCAAAACGUUCUACCAGUCCAUCAAAUCCAAGCCCCUGGAGUGGGCGUGCGACGAGGAGGAGAAGCUUCUGAAGAGAGGGAGUAGGACGGGCAACGGGACCAUGACCGUCGGCAGCAAUCCGUUCCUCGAGGUCCAGAAUGACCCCAAUGCUCCAGUGUACAUCAAGGGCUACAUCAUGAGGAAAGUGACGAGAGAUGCAGAGGGAAAGAAAAAUCCCAAGGGCAAACGAGCAUGGAAGAUGUUUUAUGCAACAGUGAAGGGGCUUAUUCUCUAUUUACACAAGUCGGAGAUGCAUCACCAGAUGCAUUUCAACACGCCCAAGGAAGCCGUCAGCAUACACCACUCCCUCUCCAGCAAGGUGUCCAACUACAGCAAGCGACCCAACGUCUUCAACCUCCGUCUCGCCAACUGGAGGGAGUUUUUUAUUCAGUGUCUACCGUGCGACAGGCAGACUCCGGAAGCAGGUGCUGCCUCUGCUUCCAACACGUCCCAAGGUUCCAGUGAUUCACAAGAUUUGCAGAACUGGAUGCAGGCGUUGAACCUUGCCGCUGCGGUCCACUCGGCGCCGCCCCUACCGGCAGCGGUCGGACUCCAGAAGACGUUCAGACGUCCCCUGCUGCCGUCCUCACCGUCAAAACUGAACACGCAAGAGCAGCUUGGUAGCCAUGAGAGGAAAGUAGAAUCCAUCGAGCAGGAGUUGGAGGACCAUCGGUCCUACCCCCCUGAUCAGGGCCAGAGAGCAUCAGUAAUGAAGGACUAUCAGACCAAGCAGGAAUAUCUGGAAUAUGAGUUGUCGCGCUUCAAGACCUACAUCUACCUUCUGCGGUCCCAGCUGGUAGCCCAGCAGACCACGGCCAUCGGCAAGUACACCCUGGAAGAGGUGAUGCCCCAGCCCACGCAGUCCAUGGACAGUAUGUCCUCCACGUCCAGCGUCUCGUCCUUAGAGGGCAGCCAGGGGAGCGGUCAGCCGCAGCAACCACAGAACAAGCUGUUUUAAACCUGGUCUUGCCUUUUUUUUUUUAACCAUCGUACCGCCUGCUGUUUCUUGAGCUUGCCAAGGAAGAAAAACGAAACCAGUGUGGGGUUGCUUGAUAAAAAUCCUGUUAUGCAUUUUUAACGUGUGAUGUACUAUGACAGUGAUGAUGCCAACAGUUGCCAUGACAGCACAGAUGACACUGAUGAGGAAGAUGAAGAGGAAGACGACAUUGAUG